rnacentral:rRNA from 1 species
AGCCUGCCCAGUGACUAAGUUAAACGGCCGCGGUACCCUAACCGUGCAAAGGUAGCGCAAUCACUUGUUCUUUAAAUGAGGACUAGUAUGAACGGCAUCACGAGGGUUAUACUGUCUCCCUAUUCCAUUCAGUGAAACUGAUCUUCCCGUGAAGAAGCGGGAAUAUAAAUAUAAGACGAGAAGACCCCAUGGAGCUUUAAACUCAGUGUCAUCUGCCACUUCAAUAUCCUCUUAACCACGCAGACAUGAUAACUAGUUUUCGGUUGGGGUGACCGCGGAGUAAAACAAAACCUCCACAACGAAAGGAACUAACAACCUAAUCCAAGAGCAACAUCUCUAAGAAUCAACAAAUUGACUUAAUUGAUCCAAUUACUUGAUCAACGAACCAAGUUACCCUGGGGAUAACAGCGCAAUCCAUUUCAAGAGCUCAUAUCGACAAAUGGGUUUACGACCUCGAUGUUGGAUCAGGGUAUCCCAGUGGCGCAGCAGCUACUAACGGUUCGUUUGUUCAACGAUUAAA